GGAUUAGAUACCCUGGUAGUCCACGCCGUAAACGAUGAUAACUAGCUGUCCGGGGACUUGGUCUUUGGGUGGCGCAGCUAACGCAUUAAGUUAUCCGCCUGGGGAGUACGGCCGCAAGGUUAAAACUCAAAUGAAUUGACGGGGGCCUGCACAAGCGGUGGAGCAUGUGGUUUAAUUCGAAGCAACGCGCAGAACCUUACCAGCGUUUGACAUGGCAGGACGACUUCUGGAGACAGAUUUCUUCCCUUCGGGGACCUGCACACAGGUGCUGCAUGGCUGUCGUCAGCUCGUGUUG
rnacentral:rRNA from 1 species